UCCUCACCCCUCUACCAGCAGGGUACAAGCCAUAGACCGAAGCCAAACUACGCUCUUAUUGAGGCCAGCAACCAAGAAGGCUCACAGAGAGCCUAGCACUCAGAGCCAGCUGGCCCGUGAAGCUCUACAAAGUGUAGGCCUAAAUGCAACACCUUUCAAAUCAGAGGCAGUCUAGCAACACUCCAUUCCACUUAGCCAAUGCCUGGCCGAGUUCUAUAGGAGAAGAAGCCUCAGCAUGACAACUCUCUAAAACGAGAGGAGACCUACUACAACUCACGCAUAGGAAACCUUAGAAGGAGGCUCACAGAGAGCCUACAACCUGCAAAGUUAUGUCCUAGUGGAGCUCUAGCCUGGAUACCUCAAUGAAGUUAACUCUCUGUAGCGAUAGGAGGCCCAGAUGACACUCGCAGUAGAUUGCCAAGCUCUAGGAGCAGAGGCCUCUACAUGAUGAUUCCCUGAAAUAAGAGGAGGCCUAACUAUAUCCCACGCUCAGGACAUCUCACAGAUUCUGCCUAACUACACCCCAUCCUAGUGAAGCUUUGGUAAGUGGAGGCCUGACGAUACUCGCUGUAGAUGACCAAGCCUACAACUCACAGAUGUCUUCAUCAUAGGUCCAGCUUCAGGGCAAGAAAAAGUGCAAAAGUGUGUCAUAGAAAAGUGCUUGCAAUGCAUGCAAACAGCCACCAAGGACUGAGCGUGCUGCUCUUCACAUAUGCACAUAAAGGACAUAAUAUGCCUGUCAUCAGGUGUCAAGAAAUGCUGACAUGGAUGAACAGACAUUUUAAAGUUUGCAGUGCUAGUGCUUGCCAUAGUUACAUUGAUUACAAACACACAAAACAACGGUCUCCCUGAAGACAAGAAAUGUAUAACGUAUUUUACAGGUGCCUUUUUACACUGCCGACUGCCAAUGUGAAGUUCAUUUAUGUCGUGGUUAGACUCGUGCUUCAGACACCGGCCUUUCCAAAGAUAUUUACAAAAAGCGCCCUCUAUGGGACGAAGCGUAGAGUUCCCGUUUGAAAAUUGUUUUAAAGAUUGACAUCUUGUUAAAAAAUAAA